UUUUCUAAAUGUGGGAUGCACGUUAAAAAUCAAGCAAUGUCUUCGAAUGCUUUCCUGUUUAAAAGACUGAUGGUGUGGCCUGAAGACCUUGGUCUCUGCUGCCCUUGCUGUCUGGACACACAUGGAGUAACCAGUUUCUCGUCCCUGAAGCAAUGGAGGCAUGUGGGGCUCCACACACAGUCACUCCCCGGCUUGGGUUGCUGGUCAUCGUAAUCACUUUGAGCCUGAGUCAUCUGGUCUGCACACACUGGGGAGACAGGCACAGAGCCGUGCCCUGUGCUCCGCCUUGUGUCACAGGCACUCAUGGCACCGCAUGGAGACAGGAUUCUGGGCACCAGUCCACGGGCCAGUGAAGGUUAGAGUGGCAUUAUUCUUAUAACUGGGUAAAAGGAGCUCACAGACCUUAGAGACCGAGACAUGCUUUUUGAAUUGAACUUGUGUUAAGAGAGGAGGGGAAGUGACAGCGUUCUAAGAAACACACGUAACCCGUGAUGCUCUCCUGUUCUUCCUUGCUCCUGUGCCGUCGCUACAGGCUCUAGCAGCUGAAGCUGAGAUGGUGUCCCAGCAGCAGAGGGAAAGGGAAACGUGAGUCCUUCUUCUUGAAGAAGACAGCAAAGGCUGUUUUGGGCAGCUUUUCCAUCAUUCUCCCAAAAGUUACAGACGGACGCACAGUAGCUGUGGCCAUGGACAGUCUACAAGGGGUCAGAGGAGUGUGGUGCUUGCCACCGGAAGAAGGAAGCAAGAACGCAGAGCCCUUGAGCCGUUUCACGUGGCAUGUUCCCUACCAGGGACAGACUUCUGCUUACGAACAAACAAGUUGGCUCUUCCUUUCCACUAUGAUCAUGAGCUCUGCUUCUUGUUGUGCAGAAUGUUAUCUACUGAUCAAGAUUCAUUCCCUCUAAUUAGAAGUUCAAGAGCAACCUUAGCCGCAGAGCAGUUCAAGCCCAGCGCUGGGAUCACCAGACCACCAGACCACCAGACCACCAGACCACCAGACCAUUGCAACGUUUUAUGAACCGCAUUUCCUUCCCAGACACCUGAACAGUCAGCUAUGGCCAUGGACUGAAUUCUAGCAGUGACCAAACAGUAACUGAUAGUGCUUUUUCCUGAUCUUUUAGGUCACCCCUCACCCCACAGGUCUGGGAUCCUGCAUCACUACUUAAUUCUAUGUCCUAUUUUCUUCACUCAUCUCAGGCAACAACUUUUAAAAUUACAUCUUCCUAGUAUACAUUCAGCGGAUGUCAUGUGAGGUCCACUUGGAAUCGAAAUAAAGCUUUUGUCCUCA